AAGACUGCUUCCAAAAACCCCAUGCCUUACACAAGAAGAAUAUAAAAAGUUCUCUUUUUCGAUGUUUCUCUUCCAAAAAAAAAAAAGAAAGAAAAAGAAAAAAAAAAAAAACCCAAAUGCAUUUGGGUGUGCUGCCUCUGAAAACUGCAUUUCCUCUCGGCUAUUCUGAGUUUGGAGUCAUCAUCAACCUCAAUAUGUAUAGAACACGCCUUUCUUGCAAAAAACUCUCAUCCACAUCCCAAGUUUUCGCCCCUGAACAAAACCCAGGUUAUGAAAUUCGGGAUAAUGCUUCUGCGUCGGAUGUUCGUGUUUCUGUUAGGAAAAAGAGAGUCAAAAAGUCUUUGGAAGUGGUCCAACCAGAGCCAAAAAUGGAGUCUAACUGCAACAAAUUAUCUGACUUGCCAGAUAUAGAAGAUUUGCAUACAAACAGGCAAAUGG